rnacentral:lncRNA from 1 species
CAGCACCUCUGCAAAGCUGCAGAACACCAGACUACACUCCACUCCCAUGCAGGUCACCAGACAGAGUUCUGGCCACAGCACAAGGAAAUCUCAGCUCCCCCCACCUCAUCAGACACCGCAACAUGGGAAACAGAUGGACUCCAUCUUGGAAAACUUGUGGGCAUGGCUAUCAGCAUGGAUAUGCGACUAAACAGGUACCUGGUUUCCAAUUCCCCCCUCCCCCCCCAGCUGUGAUAAC